rnacentral:tRNA from 2 species
GCCGGUGUGGUGAAAUGGCAGACGCGCCGGACUCAAAAUCCGGUGGGAGCAAUCCCGUGUGGGUUCAACUCCCACCACCGGCACCA